GUUAUCAUAGCUUAUUUAAAGCAUAGUGCUGAAAACACUAAGACGGCCGCCACCUGAUCAACA
rnacentral:tRNA from 1 species